CCUCACAUGCUCACAACUCCACACUCUCAGGUCACAACCUUGAGUCGUACAACUCUCUCUCUUAGACCGUGUUGCUCUUGUUUUUCAUAGCUAUCCAACACUUGGGUAUAGUUUUCUUCAAGAAUUAGGAACGACGAAAUCAUCAUGGUCAAUUAUUUAUUUUCUCUAUUUUAAACACUGAAAUCCUUAAAUAUGUUUUAGUGAUAUAUCUCGA
rnacentral:lncRNA from 1 species